AUGUGCGCGAGUCAUUGGGCUCUCUAAACCCAAAGGCGCAGUGAAAGCGGAGACCGGCGAGGGCGCUUGGUCUGGGACUUGUCCCUCUCCUCUCGCUUCUCGCCGGGUUUCUUUUGUUUGGGAGGAUGGACUUCCAGCCUCGCUCCCUGGCGGGCGUGUGCAUGGGCCCGCACUCCCGGGGCGCCUCGGCCUCCUCGGGCCGCAGGCGCACCCAGAGCGUACACGUUGGGACCCGAAAGAUGGUGAACUAUGCCUGGCCAGGACGAAGUCAGGGGAAACCCUGAUGGAGGUCCGCAGCGAUUCUGACGUGCAAAUCGAUCGUCAGAGCUGGGUAUAGGGGCGAAAGACUAAUCGAACCAUCUAGUAGCUGGUUCCCUCCGAAGUUUCCCUCAGGAUAGCUGGCGUCCGUUUGGAUGCGGAGACGAGUCUCAUCCGGUAAAGCGAAUGAUUAGAGGCCUUGGGGCCGAAACGACCUCAACCUAUUCUCAAACUUUAAAUGGGUGAGAUCUCCGGCUUGCUCGAUCUCUUGUGUGAAGCCGCGAGUCUCUCGGAUCAGGGGGCCAAGUGGGCCAUUUUUGGCAAGCAGAACUGGCGCUGAGGGAUGAACCAAACGCCGGGUUAAGGCGCCUAAACCGGAGCUCAUGGGAUACCAUGAAAGGCGUU
rnacentral:rRNA from 1 species